UUGAGGUAACCAACAGCAGUGCAGGUUACAUAUUACAGUGAAGGUCAUGCUUUGAUAUAGUUUAGCAGUUAAACAAACUUAAUUGCUUUUCAUCUGUCAGGCUUGGUCCCUCCUCCUGUGAGUGUGUGUCCUUCUGUGUUUGUGUUGUGUUGGCGUGGUGAAUACACGCAUUUCUGUGUGUCUUUCUGCAGCCACGCCCGUCUCCGCUGCAUGUGUGCCUGCAACAGGUGCACAUAUUGCCUCUGUCAGAACCUCCUCAAGUUGGAGCUGCUGCGCAGCAUUAAGGCCCAACUCCGCACGGUCGUGUUCAACAGGUGUUCACACACACGUUUGUGGCUGCCCCUCGUCCUCUUCCUCUUGCAUGUGUUCACUCUCUGCUAGUCUGCAUGGCUCACCUGUUCACUUCAACCUCUGUACUUAAAGGCAUGCCUCAGUCCUCUGUGAAAUACUGCCAUCUGCUGGCAGCUGGGGAAGGUUCUGCAUCUGUCUGUACAGUGAAGUGAGCUUGGUGUUGGAAUUUAAUUGUGCAGGUUUGCUGAGCUACACUGCAGGUGUGAAUGUGUUUAAAUGUGUUUUGAGUGCGUGUUUAUGUUGUUUCUAAUUUUUGUGAAUCAUUGUUAGUCACUCGGGCAGGGUUAGAUGAAGUGUUGCACCCAACGACUAACCCUUGUGUCGACAUCGUCUCUGGGAGUUGUUAUCAGUGAUCUUAAACAGGCAGAGUGAGGGCCUGACGACCUAAAAUCUAAUAUUAAAGUAACAUUUCAGGUCCGAUUGAUUACAAGCAUCAAGAUUAAGCUGCAUUGAGCCAAAGUGCUCAUUAAGAUUAGAAAUUAACUGAGUAACAAGUACAGACCAACCUUUAUACUCUGUUGUUAAAGAAUCUAACGCUCCAAGAACACAGACUAUUAUUUUAUUUGGUAACACACUAUACAGCUUGUUUAUGGUGUGUGUGUGUGCGUGUGUGCUUUUGUUUGAUAUGUGAAAUGAAAGUUGGUCAGGUAUUGUUGUGGUUGUGUUCAAGCUUGUGCUUCAGAGGUGGUGUUUGGCCUACUUUUCGGACUCGGUGGAGCUGGGCGAUACAGAUGACUUUUUAGGAUUUUUCACAUCCUCUCAUUUAUCUUAUUGGUGCAUUUUUAUUGUAUUUCCUUCAUUGUUAUAAAUAAAAGGGUAAAUAUAUUUUGCUGAAAAAGUGUAGUUAAUAGUUUUUACUGUUAAUGAGGAUAUACUGUAAUAUAGAACCAAGUGUAUAUGGUAUGCACCACCAUAUAUGUGGCCAUUUCCUCAUUUUUAUGUAAAAACAGUUCCCACACAUAUAGUAUUUCUCGGCUUCAGUCUCCCUCGUGAAUAUUUCCGGGUUUUUUUUUUUCGUUUCCUGUGCUUAAAGACUAUAUUUUUAAGUGCUGUUGGGUCAGACCAAACCUGACAAUAUUAUUUUUAGCUCAAACAAGUAGUUAUAGGUCCAGGUGAUUAGUGGGUUUUUUUUUUGUUUUUUUUUGUUUUGUUUUUUAAAAGUAAAUGUUUUUCUUAGAAACCAGGAUAUUAGGAUGGCUGUAAAUAGAUUUUCUACCAUUAGCUGCCCACAAACUGUGUUUGCAGGCGUAUUUAUGUCAAUGAGGUGAGGGUCAGAUAAUCUAUAAAGAUAGCAAUCAACAUUUCCUACUGAUUCAGACUACACAACCACAGUUAAGAAAAAACUUUUUCAAGUAAAUGCCUGCACAGACCAGCAUCAUGUGACUGGACCACAGGCAUGGUGUGGAGGCCACACAGAAACAGAGUUUUGAUGGAAAUUUGGUAAAAGCAAACGACAGCAGUGCAGAUGCAGACGCCGGGUAAACUGUAGUCUGUAAAGGCUGUGCAUCCUUCCUUUAUUCAACGCCACAAACAAAGGAUAAACUCUUAGGGACCGAGUCUACAUUUUAUUUCUACAGCAACAACUGUUGUGGCGAAAACACAACUACAGUCGCCUCACAGUGCUUUAUAUUCUAAGGUAGACCCUACAAUAAUACCCUAUGAGCAAGCGCUUUGGCAACAACAGGAAGGAAAAACUAGCUUUUAAAAGGAAGAAUCCUCUUAAACCAGGCUCGGUGAGGGGCACGUAUCUGCUGCGACCGGUCGGGAUGAGGAGAAUGAGGAUCUUUUUUAAAAUUAAGUGCAGGAGACUUUGUUGCCCUGGAGGCAAAACACAGUGUAAGAUGCUUAACUGUCUUAUACACUAGAGCACAUGAGAACAUCCUUCCAGAUUCCUCACGUGACAACAUGCUGAAAUUACUUUCACCUCGCUUCCUUGAAGAAGAGAUUCUUCUGAUAAGAUGACAGCUUGAGGGCCUCGUGCAGGUUUUCCUGCUGUGCAAUACUUUGCACAUAUCCUGUAGCUAUGGUAAAGUUAACAGGUAACUGUGUGUGGCAUGAUGUGCUGCAUGUUAAUUACAAUUAUGAGAACCUGUGUAAGUGAUUUCCCUAAAUGAAUGAACAAUGACUAAAGUAUAAACGCGUUAAAACGAGAUGUUGGUAUAUAUUGUAUGAUGGUGUAUGAAUUAUCUGCCUAGCAACCAAGCAAACAUCAUCGUUUACUCUGUCAACAUCAAUUUGUGUGUAAAACACGUUUACAGAAAGUUUUGAUGUUCAGUAAACUGCACCUUCUUUAAAAAAAAAAAAAAAAA